AAAAGUAAUAAAGACUUUUACACUAAACGAACUACACCCAGUGGCAGCCAAAGACCGAAGUGCCGAGCCUCAAGACUGUCGUCUGCUAAGAUUUAAACGUUCCGCCAAUCAGAGGGAUUGGAACGCUAGCUCGCGUAAACUAACCAAUCAGAUUCAUUAGAACGAAAGCGCGAGUAACUCGGCCAAUGACAGCGUCUGGAACAUAAGCGCGUGAAAAAUGUCAAACGCAGGAGUUGAUGAAAGAAGCUCUGAAGAAACAGCCGAUGAAUAUUUGAAAAAUACGAGUAAAAUAUUAAUAGGCAAGCUAUCCUGCUGAUGUGUCCCCCUCGCCCAUGAGGUGGGGCACAAUAAUACGCAUUAUUGAAAACUGACAAGCUGAAUUAGGAACGGGAUAAGCAUGUGACGGCAAACACCGUAAAACCACCUUUAAAGGCGAACUCCUGCGAGCAGGCAAGAUAAUUAGUGAACAAGGAACAAUAAUGAAUAAUAUAAUAAUAGCAGCACUAAUUAACAAGAACAUACAAGUCGACUUCAUUGUACGAUCACAUUCACAGACAGGAAGCCUUAAAUCUCCUGCAAUCUUUGACUUAUAAAAGACUGUAAGUCAGUAAUUCCGUAAAAUUGGGCCUCACUGAGCAAUUCAUAAAGGGAUUGAUAAUUAUAUGGCAAUGACAUUUUAGAGGCAGGGGCUCCAACAUCCCCUCUUAAAAAGGUGAGAAUAAGAUCGAAAUGCUUUGGUGAUCUGUCAAUGAAAUAAUAAAAAUGACCAUCCUUCUUAUCUGCCUUGAUAGGGGCGUCCUCCUUUACCAAGUGAUAGAAGAGAGUUUCCUGAUGGGACUUCAACGUUGCCAUAGAAGUUUUAAAUACAGUCCCCCCCACGUCCAAAAUAACAGUUUUGCCUUUAUUAGCUGCCAUCUUCUCUAGCUGAUGAUUAGCUUUUAACACACAACUGGAUUCUGUCGAAGCAUUAUUAUUAGAUGAUUUGGGUACCUCUUGUGGUGCCGAACUAUCCCGCAGACUUGGAAUGGAUGCCGACGACACGUCAGACAGGGCCGACGACGAAGAAGAUGAGGAUGAAGAGGAAACAGUUCUCAACCGCUUACGGUUUAUGCGGAUAGGAGAAACAAAAAGUGGUUUGGGAACAAUAGUACUGGGAUUCUCAGAGGUUUUCGGAGGUACCACUUCAGGCACAGCCGCAGCUCUGGCCUCGCGUCUCUCUGACUCUGAUCUGGCUUGACGCCUAAUAGAUUUAACAUCACUCCUCAUGUUCUUCACAAAAUCUUGGUAUUCUGCCUUUUCCUUAACACCGUACCGCAUGUUGGCUCUUUUCACCCUCUCCAUGGUGGCACGUGGGCAUCCAGGGUGUUUUAUAUCAGGACGGUUGGUCACAUUCUUGCAUUGGCUACAUUUGUACCCAAAGCCGGAAUGGCUACUGAUAAUGUGUCUUUCGCAAUGGCUGAUCCGUAGAUAUUCUCGGUUAUCAUUGCAAAUACCACAAUUAAAACGUGUGAUCUGAAAUACAUAAUGAAGAUGACCGUUAUUCAAAAAGUGAUUGUUACAAAGGUGGAACUCUACCAAGAACCAGAUCGACAGGGCGAACAUUGAGAGGAUUCUUAUUUAAGGCACAUUGGCUUUCCGCAGCAUUAGACAGGGCAUUAACAGACACAUCACAGGGUGAAAUUUGAUUAUCAGGUGCCACAUUGAAUCUGAGAUAAAACAGCCCCAGCCCCAAAAUUUGAAGCAUCAGAAUCGAUAAUGAACAAGCCCUCUGGCUGUGGAAAUGACAGAAUAG